rnacentral:rRNA from 1 species
CAAAGCUUGGCGGCGUGCCUAAUCAUGCUCGCCGAGCGGAACAGAUGGGUAGCUUGCUCCCUCCAUGUUAGCGGCGGACGGGUGAGUAACACGUGGGUAACCUGCCUGUAAGACUGGGAUAACUCCGGGAAACCGGGGCUAAUACCGGAUGGUUGUCUGAACCGCAUGGUUCAGACAUAAAAGGUGGCUUCGGCUACCACUUACAGAUGGACCCGCGGCGCAUUAGCUAGUUGGUGAGGUAACGGCUCACCAAGGCGACGAUGCGUAGCCGACCUGAGAGGGUGAUCGGCCACACUGGGACUGAGACACGGCCCAGACUCCUACGGGAGGCAGCAGUAGGGAAUCUUCCGCAAUGGACGAAAGUCUGACGGAGCAACGCCGCGUGAGUGAUGAAGGUUUUCGGAUCGUAAAGCUCUGUUGUUAGGGAAGAACAAGUGCCGUUCAAAUAGGGCGGCACCUUGACGGUACCUAACCAGAAAGCCACGGCUAACUACGUGCCAGCAGCCGCGGUAAUACGUAGGUGGCAAGCGUUGUCCGGAAUUAUUGGGCGUAAAGGGCUCGCAGGCGGUUUCUUAAGUCUGAUGUGAAAGCCCCCGGCUCAACCGGGGAGGGUCAUUGGAAACUGGGGGAACUUGAGUGCAAAAGAGGAAAGUGGAAUUCCCGUGUACCGGUGAAAUGCGUAGAGAUGUGGAGGAACACCAGUGGCGAAGGCGACUCUCUGGUCUGUACUGACCCUGAGGAGCGAAGCGUGGGGAGCGA